UGAGGCAGGAGAAUUGCCUGAACCCAGGAGGAGGAGGUUGUGGUGAUCCGAGAUGGCAGCAUUGCACUCCAUCCUGGGCAACAAGAGCGAAACACCGUCU